rnacentral:rRNA from 1 species
AUACGGAGGGGGCGAGCGUUAUUCGGAAUUACUGGGCGUAAAGCGCUCGUAGGCGGUUUGGUCAGUCGGAUGUGAAAGCCCUGGGCUCAACCCAGGAACUGCAUUCGAUACUGCCUGACUAGAGUAUGGUAGAGGGAAGUGGAAUUUCCGGUGUAGCGGUGAAAUGCGUAGAUAUCGGAAGGAACACCAGUGGCGAAGGCGACUUUCUGGGCCAAUACUGACGCUGAGGUGCGAAAGCGUGGGGAGCAAACAGGAUUAGAUACCCCGGUAGUCC